UAACCGUCCCAUAACCGCCCCUUGGCGGUUUCUCCCCUUUUCUUCCUUUGAAAAAUCGAUCACUGAGCCUCAGCUCACACUCUGGGAACUUGUCCACUCCCUGUCCCAAGCCUAAGACCAAUUCGGUCGAACCGUCCCGUACCCGGACCAUCGGCUCGCCCAGUAACCGUCCCAGACUCGUCCACACUGAUCCGAACCAAAAUGCACCGUUCACCGGAUUGAGCUGAUCUCCAGCUGUUCCCAGCUGAGUGAGCUAGUCUACCAGCUCC
rnacentral:lncRNA from 1 species